UGGGGAAUAUUGCACAAUGGAGGGAACUCUGAUGCAGCGACGCCGCGUGAAGGAAGAAGGUUUUCGGAUCGUAAACUUCUAUCAGCAGGGACGAAAAAAGACGGUACCUGACUAAGAAGCCCCGGCUAACUACGUGCCAGCAGCCGCGGUAAUACGUAGGGGGCAAGCGUUAUCCGGAAUUACUGGGUGUAAAGGGUGCGUAGGCGGUAAUGUAAGUCAGGUGUGAAAGCCCGAGGCUCAACUUCGGGAUUGCACUUGAAACUACAUAACUAGAGUACAGGAGAGGUGAGUGGAAUUCCUAGUGUAGCGGUGAAAUGCGUAGAUAUUAGGAGGAACACCAGUGGCGAAGGCGACUCACUGGACUGUAACUGACGCUGAGGCACGAAAGCGUGGGUAGCGAACAGG
rnacentral:rRNA from 1 species